AACCUAGCACACCUGCGGUGUGUACCUGCGGAGGGAUCAUUACAUGAUUUAACAGGGAGUGGAGGCUUCGGCCAAAGCUCUGUCUGAACCCAUGUCUUUUGCGUACUUCUUGUUUCCUCGGUGGGCUUGCCCGCCGAUAGGACAACCUUAAACUCUUUGCAAUUGCAAUCAGCGUCUGAAAAACUAUAAUAGUUACAACUUUCAGCAACGGAUCU
rnacentral:misc_RNA from 1 species